rnacentral:lncRNA from 1 species
AUGAGGAAAGUGGGCCAAUUUCUGCAGUUGAGGAAGCCCUUAGAAAGCUCUUUAAAAAUGAGGCCAAAUUCUUCUGCUACAAAGCAAGUGCAAUGCUCACUGGUUUUAGAAUGCUGCUCAUGUUGUGCAGUUGGAGAAGUGACAUGAUCCAAAUAAAAAGAAAUAGAUCAGCUUUUUUUCUCUGGUAGUACUGACACAUCAACUGGAGCUCAUGGACUUCAUCUUUCUACCUUAUGCUGUGCCAUUUCUCAAGUUUUACAGAAAUGGCAAUGAAGUUUUGGAGGAAGAGGAAUCUCGCUCUGUGACUGCAGCUUCUGCUUUCCAAAAUGGAUUUGCAGAGAGUUUUGAUGUUCAAGGCUUGUUUUGAAGCCCUCUGCGUUGCAGUUUUCUGUUUCGGAUCCUGGGGACUGACAGAUGCUCAGAUUCUUCUUGGUGCAGUGCCAGCAGUGGCAGCAGAUAAAGGAAAAGAGAUGGAAACAAGAGGGAUCCUUUGCCAGUCCUCACAGUUCUGCUGUUUCUCUGUCCUCUAGCAAGACCUUUUGCUGGAAAUUAAGGGACAUCUCCUGUAGUUCUCAAAGCAGUAGCACAGGCUCCUUGGAGGAAGAACUUAGGAAAUAA